rnacentral:tRNA from 3 species
GCCGGUUUAGCUCAGUUGGUAGAGCAGCUCAUUUGUAAUGAGAGGGUCAGCGGUUCGAAUCCGUUAACCGGCACCA